rnacentral:misc_RNA from 1 species
UACAGAGGGUGCGAGCGUUAACCGGAUUUAUUGGGCGUAAAGCGUGCGUAGGCGGCUCUUUAAGUCGGAUGUGAAAUCCCCGAGCUCAACUUGGGAAUUGCAUUCGAUACUGGGAAGCUAGAGUAUGGGAGAGGAUGGUAGAAUUCCAGGUGUAGGGGUGAAAUGCGUAGAGUUCUGGAGGAAUACCGAUGGCGAAGGCAGCCAGCUGGCCUAAUACUGACACUGAGGUACGAAAGCAAGGGGAGCAAACAGG